ensembl:lncRNA
GGAUAAUUAUAGUAGCUUCUUCACAGAACUGCUGUUAAGACUAAACAUUUAAUAUAUGUGAAGCAUUUGGCAAAGUGCCUAGUCAUAGUAAGUAUUUGUCAAAUAAAAUCUAUUUAUUGUUGGUGUUAUUACUAUUAUGCAAAUGAGCAACAUAAAACAUGAAUAUGCAUGCAUAAAGUAUCAAGCAAAUAAAUAGGCAGAAAUAAUUCAUUCAGUCUUAGACAUUUGAGAGACAUCUCUAGGUGAUGGUACAUUUGGAUUAGGAAUUGAAAAAAAUUAAAAAAUAAAUAAAAAGGUGAAGGAAUUUUCCUAGUAGAAAAGGAUAUUCCAGGGUAUUGAGUAGUGAAAGCAAAAGCAUAAAGAAAGGAAGAGUGUGGCAGAUUCGGAAAUGGAGAGGCAUGUGACAAUACAUGUCACAUGUUGUAGAUCCACAGUACCUAGCACGGGGUCUGGCAUAUAAAGUUUGGUUAGAUGUAUGGGGGCUGGGAGUGUGGGCAGGAGAGAGAGGAAGGGAGGAGUACAGACAGAUGGAUGGAUGAAUGGGGAGAUGAAUGUAUUAAAGGAUGGCUUAUAUUGUGGCCCUUGCCUUCUUUCAGUGGUGGUUACUGUGGGCAGGUUUGAGGUGACCAAUUCAUAUCUCAAACGGAGUUAAACAUUCUGUCCCAAGGUUCCCUGCAGUCUGUUCGGAAAGGUUCAAUCUAAUCGAUGAGCAAACUCGAUCCUGCAACCCUCCAAAGGCGUCUGUGUGAAGGGCGCCCUUGGAUUUGUGGUAAUUCUGCAGAGUUCAAGAUUCCCACAAGGAAUGCGGCUGUCGGAAUGCAGAGGUUGCCAGAACUAACGGCAGAAGGGGAUCCUCACCCGCGAGGAGUCUCGCCUUCGUGCGAGUUCUACUUUGCACAAGUCAGUCAAGAAGGGCCUGGUGGCACAGGACGUAACAAUAGAUUCCCAUCUCUUCCGGUGGCGCUGCUACAGCCUUGCACUGCCAACUCCAUUAAAAGAUCAUCAAGAAAGCAGCUCUUGGUUUGCUACAUUUGGAAGUACUCUUCUCCGGAACCUGCUCAGAAGAAAUCUGCCUGGUUUUCUCAGAGGCAGAGUGGAACAAGAAGCUUCACGUUCAUGACUUCUCCUGGGGCCUCUCCCGUGUGUCUCGGUUUGAAUUAUAUUUGACUGCAUGCAAGAGGGAAACACAGCAGAGGAUUAACCCAAGUUUGAGCUUUAUUUCUCUCCCAAGUGAAGAAGUAUGGACGUUGGCAGUAUAAGGUUGUCAUGGUUACACCUUUCUUCGCAUCUUCAGAGACCCAGGGUCCUAUCUUUUGGCCCCAUCACAUCUUCAAGGUAACUUUGUGAUCCGUGGGUGUUACUGGCACUGUAGUUUCAGGAUGAGAGAAGCAGGAAAGGAAAGAGCAAAAUGGGGCAAUCCCAGCAGGGUGGCCUCUCAUUAGGCACGAAUCAGUCUGUAUCAUGUCUACUUACAUCUCUUUGGUCAGAAUGUAAUCACACAGCAACACUUCGGGUGUUGGUGCUGUGGCAUAGAGAGUAAAGUGGCAGCCUGCAGUGCUGGCAUCCCAUAUGGGUGCUGGUUAGAGUCCUGGCUGCUCCACUUCUGAUCCAGCUCUCUGCUAUGACCUGGGAAAGCAGUAGAAGAUGGCCCAAGUGCUUGGGCCCCUGCACCUGUGUGGGAGACCCCAAGGAAGCUCCUGGCUCCUGGCUUUGGAUCAGCGCAGCUUUGGCCAUUGCAGCCAACUGGGGAGUGAACCCGCGGAUGGAAGACUGCUCUCUCUCUCUCUCUGCCUCUCCUUCUCUCUCUGUGUAACUCUGACUUUCAAAUAAAUAAAUUAAUUAAAAAAAAUUAAAAGUGACU